rnacentral:siRNA from 1 species
UGCUAUCAAAUUAUAUCUCUGCGC